rnacentral:rRNA from 1 species
GGAUCAGGUAGGGAUACCCGC